rnacentral:lncRNA from 1 species
CGUCGGCAAAUUUGUGUUGAAAGGGAACGACGGGACCCUUUAAAUCCAAGGAGAAGGGAUGACAGCACAGGCCCAUUAGCAGCGCCCACACAAUCACUGGGCCCAACGCCUCAACCGACGACACCCACAUUAUAGCCUCUUUCAGAUUAUGCCAGGUGCGUAUCCUAACCCUUAUAUGUUUCCUUUUCCUAGUUCGUAUGCCAGGUUGGGAAUGCAUGGCGCGAUGCAUCUCCUUUCCCGAUGACUUCAACUUAACCGACGAUAUAUAGGCAGCCGUCACAGGAGGGAUCGCACGAGGCGCUGUCAGGGAGCUCUUCUCAUUACCAAUCCCCAUCGCCUUACGGGAAUCAAAC